rnacentral:rRNA from 1 species
AUUGAACGCUGGCGGCAUGCCUUACACAUGCAAGUCGAACGGCAGCAUGGAGAGCUUGCUCUCUGAUGGCGAGUGGCGAACGGGUGAGUAAUGCAUCGGAACGUACCGUGUAAUGGGGGAUAACGUAGCGAAAGUUACGCUAAUACCGCAUACGACCUGAGGGUGAAAGCAGGGGAUCGCAAGACCUUGCGUUAUACGAGCGUGCGAAGUGAGAUUAGCUAGUUGGUGAGGUAAAGGCUCACCAGGGCGACGAUCUGUAGCGGGUCGGAGAGGAUGAUCCGCCACACGGGGACUGAGACACGGCCCAGACGCCUACGGGAGGCAGCAGUGGGGAAUUUUGGACAAUGGGGGCAACCCUGAUCCAGCCAUGCCGCGUGAGUGAAGAAGGCCUUCGGGUUGUAAAGCUCUUUCGGCCGGGAAGAAAUCGCACAGGCUAAUACUCUGUGUGGAUGACGGUACCGGCAUAAGAAGCACCGGCUAACUACGUGCCAGCCGCCGCCGUAA